UAAGUGAGGGGACUAAAGGCUUGG
rnacentral:piRNA from 1 species